rnacentral:rRNA from 1 species
CUACGGGGUGCUCCAGUGGGGAAUAUUGCACAAUGGAGGAAACUCUGAUGCAGCAACGCCGCGUGGAGGAUGACACUUUUCGGAGCGUAAACUCCUUUUAUAUAGGAAGAAGAUGACGGUACUAUAUGAAUAAGCGCCGGCUAACUCCGUGCCAGCAGCCGCGGUAAUACGGAGGGCGCAAGCGUUACUCGGAAUCACUGGGCGUAAAGAGCGUGUAGGCGGAUUAAAAAGUCAGAAGUGAAAUCCUAUAGCUUAACUAUAGAACUGCUUCUGAAACUCUUAAUCUAGAAUAUGGGAGAGGUAGAUGGAAUUUCUGGUGUAGGGGUAAAAUCCGUAGAGAUCAGAAGGAAUACCGAUUGCGAAGGCGAUCUACUAGAACAUUAUUGACGCUGAGACGCGAAAGCGUGGGGAGCAAACAGGAUUAGAUACCCCAGUAGUC